AUUGAACGCUGGCGGCAGGCUUAACACAUGCAAGUCGAGCGGAGAGAGGUAGCUUGCUACUGAUCUUAGCGGCGGACGGGUGAGCAAUGCUUAGGAAUCUGCCUAUUAGUGGGGGACAACAUUUCGAAAGGAAUGCUAAUACCGCAUACGUCCUACGGGAGAAAGCAGGGGAUCUUCGGACCUUGCGCUAAUAGAUGAGCCUAAGUCGGAUUAGCUAGUUGGUGGGGUAAAGGCCUACCAAGGCGACGAUCUGUAGCGGGUCUGAGAGGAUGAUCCGCCACACUGGGACUGAGACACGGCCCAGACUCCUACGGGAGGCAGCAGUGGGGAAUAUUGGACAAUGGGCGGAAGCCUGAUCCAGCCAUGCCGCGUGUGUGAAGAAGGCCUUAUGGUUGUAAAGCACUUUAAGCGAGGAGGAGGCUACUUUAGUUAAUACCUAGAGAUAGUGGACGUUACUCGCAGAAUAAGCACCGGCUAACUCUGUGCCAGCAGCCGCAGUAAGAC
rnacentral:rRNA from 1 species